AGAAUAUGUUUGAUGACAUGUUAAUGUCAGAAAGGUUGUAUUUUAUUAUAGAUACUGAUCCAAAAGAAGGUAUGAAGCUAAAAUUGCUAAUCUGUUCCGUGGUUGACUUUGAGAUUCUGGUGUCUUGUCAAAAGCCACCAAGGGAGUUAUGAGUAUAAUUUGCUGGAAUUGUCAAGGGCUUAGGCAACCCCUGAUAAUGAAAGCUCUUCGGGAGCUUGUUCAUGUAAAUAGGCCUGAGCUGGUUUUCUUGUCUGAAAACUAAGAAGAAACGUUCUUUUUUGGAGAGGUGGAGAAGCAAAUUAAGUUUCUAAUUUUCUUUUUAUGUUGAACCUGAAGGUUUGUCAAGGGGAUUGGCAUUGUAGUGGAAUGCUUGGUUACCUAUUCAAAUCUUA
rnacentral:misc_RNA from 1 species